AAAAAGGCGAACCCUGGGUUUUCGUGUCCAACUUUGACUGUCCGUCUUAUAUGAAAUUUUUUUAUAAUUCGUAUUUUUAUUGUUGUUAAAUGAUAAAACAUGAUUAAUACUUUGUGCGUGACUUAUCUUUUUAAUUUUUUUCAUAAUUUUUUCAAAUAAGACGGGCGGUCAAACGUUAGGCACGGAAACCAGAGUUUGUCUUUUUU
rfam:Oryza sativa (indica cultivar-group) chromosome 8, whole genome shotgun sequence.